rnacentral:rRNA from 1 species
GAUGAACGCUGGCGGCGUGCCUAAUACAUGCAAGUCGAGCGAACGGACGAGAAGCUUGCUUCUCUGAUGUUAGCGGCGGACGGGUGAGUAGCACGUGGAUAACCUACCUAUAAGACUGGGAUAACUUCGGGAAACCGGAGCUAAUACCGGAUAAUAUUUUGAACCGCAUGGUUCAAAAGUGAAAGACGGUCUUGCUGUCACUUAUAGAUGGAUCCGCGCUGCAUUAGCUAGUUGGUAAGGUAACGGCUUACCAAGGCAACGAUGCAUAGCCGACCUGAGAGGGUGAUCGGCCACACUGGAACUGAGACACGGUCCAGACCCCUACGGGAGGCAGCAGUAGGGAAUCUUCCGCAAUGGGCGAAAGCCUGACGGAGCAACGCCGCGUGAGUGAUGAAGGUCUUCGGAUCGUAAAACUCUGUUAUUAGGGAAGAACAUAUGUGUAAGUAACUGUGCACAUCUUGACGGUACCUAAUCAGAAAGCCACGGCUAACUACGUG